UGGUUUUUUAGCUUAUAGCUUGCUAACAGAAGACUAGAUCAGGAUACUAUCGAACAAUAAUGAUUGUAUGCAAGAUAUAUAGAGUAGGAGCAACUUGCAUAUUUGUUUUGGUUAAUCAUUUAUAUUUGUUACAGAUAGAUGCAUAUUUCAAUAUAUCAUUAUUGACACAAAACACGGGGAGUGUCCCAUAUGGAUCGUCAAGGGAAGGAAUUU
rnacentral:lncRNA from 1 species